CCUGUGAAAUGGAGAUAUUGGUUUUUGUUAGUCCAUCUUCUACUUUGCUGUCUUACACAGUGCGUGGCACAUGAUGUUCCCAGCUUCCAGAAGCAAGAAUUGGUGUUUGUCUGGGAUGCUUCAGACUGAGAAAUUGGCAAAAUGUUGAGAUACUGAACCCUGGAGAGAGGGAAUAUUUCUGGCCUUGUGAAAGGAGAGUCCCAGCUGGGCACCAAAGGGAAAAUGGUACAGCACAUUAAGGUGUUGAGGAGAGCUUGUGGCAAAGGAAGAGGAAUGCUUUGGAGAGGGGAGGUUACCAAAAGAAGUCCAGCUUACUGAUAGCAAACAUUAAACUUGCCUCUUCCUAGAGGAAUUGCAGGAAGUCCAGAUUUGUUUGGAAGGGAGAUUUCAUGGGACUUAUGUGAUGGAUGGUGUGAAAAGUUUCCAGGAAACAAGAAGAUGGGGGAGGAUGGAAUACUUCUAACAUUUUUCCAUGACUGUUUGGGAAACUAGAAGAGCUACUUGUGGAACUGUGAAGCAACAGUGAAUUCCUGGAGAAAGAUGACAUGCUGCAAAAACUUCUGUUUAUGACAAAAAACAUUUAGCCUGGAGAAGACUGAGGGGUAUCUCCUUAAUGAUUAUACAUACUAAAGGGUGAGUGUCAGGAGGAUGGAGCCAGGCUCUUCUCAGUGGUGUCCAGAGAC